rnacentral:rRNA from 1 species
UACGUAGGGGGCUAGCGUUAUCCGGAAUUACUGGGCGUAAAGGGUGCGUAGGUGGUUUCUUAAGUCAGAGGUGAAAGGCUACGGCUCAACCGUAGUAAGCCUUUGAAACUGAGAAACUUGAGUGCAGGAGAGGAGAGUGGAAUUCCUAGUGUAGCGGUGAAAUGCGUAGAUAUUAGGAGGAACACCAGUUGCGAAGGCGGCUCUCUGGACUGUAACUGACACUGAGGCACGAAAGCGUGGGGAGCAAACAGGAUUAGAUACCCGGGUAGUCCCUGAGCGGG